AUUUUUAACUCUAUAGCCACUGAACAUACCUGAUCUCAUCUAUUCUUGGAAAUAAGCAGGAUUGGGCCUUGUUAGUACUUGGAAUGGAAACCAGUUGGGAAUGCCAGCUGUUAUAGGUA
rnacentral:rRNA from 1 species